GCAAAAUAUGUUGUAUUUGUGGCAUAGUUCAUAUUUACACUAUCGUAAAAUUAUGGCCGAGAAGUUAAAUAUUCUAAAUGUGUCAACAUAGUUCUCUGUAAAACUGACUUAUUUUCCAAAUAUAUUUUGAAAUAAAACAAUAUAAAAAUGUUUUCUGUUUUUAGGAAUGGUGGAAAGCAGCAGACAUAAUUGGAGUGGGUUGGAUAAGCAAAGUGAUAUUCAAAAUUUAAAUGAAGAGAGAAUCUUAGCUUUACAGCUUUGUGGGUGGAUAAAGAAAGGAACGGAUGUAGACGUGGGGCCAUUUUUGAACUCCCUUGUACAAGAAGGGGAAUGGGAGAGAGCUGCUGCUGUGGCAUUGUUCAACUUGGAUAUUCGCCGAGCAAUCCAAAUCCUGAAUGAAGGGGCAUCUUCCGAAAAAGGAGAUCUGAAUCUCAAUGUGGUAGCAAUGGCUUUAUCGGGUUAUACGGAUGAGAAGAACUCCCUUUGGAGAGAAAUGUGUAGCACACUGCGAUUACAACUAAACAACCCGUAUUUGUGUGUCAUGUUUGCAUUUCUGACAAGUGAAACAGGAUCUUAUGAUGGAGUUUUGUAUGAAAACAAAGUUGCAGUACGUGACAGAGUGGCAUUUGCUUGUAAAUUCCUUAGUGAUACUCAGUUAAAUAGAUACAUCGAAAAGUUGACCAAUGAAAUGAAAGAGGCUGGAAAUUUGGAAGGAAUUUUGCUUACAGGCCUUACUAAAGAUGGAGUGGACUUAAUGGAGAGUUAUGUUGAUAGAACUGGAGAUGUUCAAACAGCAAGUUACUGUAUGUUACAGGGUUCACCUUUAGAUGUUCUUAAAGAUGAAAGGGUUCAGUACUGGAUUGAGAAUUAUAGAAAUUUAUUAGAUGCCUGGAGGUUUUGGCAUAAACGAGCUGAAUUUGAUAUUCACAGGAGUAAGUUGGAUCCCAGUUCCAAGCCUUUAGCACAAGUUUUUGUGAGUUGCAAUUUCUGUGGCAAGUCAAUCUCCUACAGCUGUUCAGCUGUGCCUCAUCAGGGCAGAGGUUUUAGUCAGUAUGGUGUCAGUGGCUCACCAACGAAAUCUAAAGUCACAAGUUGUCCUGGCUGUCGAAAACCCCUUCCUCGAUGUGCGCUUUGUCUCAUUAAUAUGGGAACACCAGUUUCUAGCUGUCCUGGAGGAACCAAAUCAGAUGAAAAAGUGGACUUGAGCAAGGACAAAAAAUUAGCCCAAUUUAACAACUGGUUUACAUGGUGUCAUAACUGCAGGCACGGUGGACAUGCUGGACAUAUGCUUAGUUGGUUCAGGGACCAUGCAGAGUGCCCUGUGUCUGCAUGCACGUGUAAAUGUAUGCAGUUGGAUACAACAGGGAAUCUGGUACCUGCAGAGACUGUCCAGCCAUAAAAUGUUAUCACCUUAAGAGAAACCUUCAAGUGUGGAACUUUCUAAUAGGUGUCCUUCAUAGCUCAGAAACAUACCUCAGAACAAGUCAUUCAUGACUUACCUGUAAUGGGAAAAUAAAUCAUUCUAUCAGAUCAGCAGUUUUGAUGUUUGAGUGAUUUUGAUGUGCUUCACAGAGACAAAUGCUGCUGAAAUAAACAUCAAAGUAUAGACAUGAGUUCUGUUCAGCAGGUUGAAAAGUCUACUUUAGAAAAACUUUCUAAGUUUUGGUUGAAAUUAUGAACACUCUACAAGCAGAAUUUCUGGAAGAGCCAAGAACAGACUUUGAGCCUAUAUCUUCAAAGCUGAAACUGGAUCUCUUUCAAUAAAAUAUGUGCACUUUUAAAAUAAAAUGACUAAUUCUGUGAUUCAGACAAUAGUUUUAAGUUCAGCUGUGCUUAGAUUUCUUUCAGAUUAAUUUAAAAUUAUAGAUUUUUACUUUUGGAAUUGCAGAGCCCCUAUCCCACACUGGAGAAUAUUUUUUAUUAUGGUCUGUUAUAUAUAUGUGUGUAUGUGUGUGUGUAUAUUUAUGUGUGUAUGUAUAAAUAUGUAUUUUUUAAAGGAGCCUUUUCCCUCAUUUACUUUGAUUUUAAGAUAAGCAAUCUUUUGGCAUAGACAUUAUCGUCUUCCUAGAAAAGCCAAGAUGAAGAAUCUAUCUUACAACUUUUUCUCUUCAGAAGAGAAAAACAUGUACCAUUUCAGGUGAACAUACAAAAUUUUCACUUUCUACCUUUUGCUUUCCAAUGUCCUGAUUUGUCUUCAAAGGUUUUUCUCCAUAUUAAUUUGUCAUCUUAUCCUCAUCAGCUGAGAACAUUUUACUGCAUACAAAGUUUAUGCAAGGUUACGUGUAACUAGCCAUUUGGUAUAAUCUACGUCAGUGUUUCUGUGCUGUCAAAUUCCGUCCUGGUUUGGAAUACCAUACCUUGUUCUUUCCAAGGUAGACUAGGAAGUGUUGGGGAAAUAGGGUCACUUCAGAGACCACUUUAUAUGUAAGUUUUUAAAUGUAAGUGUUAGUGGGGCUAAGUCAGGGACUUUAUUUAAAAAAAUUUUUUUUCUCAUUUCAUAGCUAGAUAGUUGCAAGAGAUACAAAGAAUUUACAAGAUGCUUCUCUGUCAUCUGCCAUAUGCAGAGGGACUGAACUAGGAAUUUUGUAGUUUGAAGCUGUGUUCAUAAAGAGUAAAUCUAAUUUUAUUUUAUAGAUUUUGGAGAAAUAAAACUGAAGGAUUUUAAGAGCUUUCAUAUUAGCAGUUUUGCCUUAUAAAAACUAAGAUUUGUCAGAUUAGUUUGAGGUAUAACCUAAAUAUUAAAAGUAGAUUAAAUUUAUUUUUUACCUUGAGUGUCUGAUACAUAAAACCCUUUUCUAGGAAAACAUUGGAAGUAGUACAUAUUUACUCUAAAUGUCUCACCUACAUGACAGUCUUUUCAAAUGAAAGACAUGGGAAUUGCAAAUUUUUUUUUAAAGAUUGCUAUUAAGGGUACUUUUUCCAGCCUUCAUUUGAGUAAAUCUUAAUUGAUUUCAUUUUAUUAACAUAUACCCUUUACCUUUAAUAUUUCAUUUGAAGUGUUCCUUUCAAAUUUACUGUCUUAAAUAUGAAAGUCAGCUUUAAGUAAUGUCAGACUCAUAUACAUUUUCAUUCUCAUUAGCUAAAGUAAAAUAUAAAAUUAUCUGAAAUAGUUACAAGUUUUGGAAAUACAGUAUAAAACAUGAAUGUAAAGUCUAUUAUGUAAUAUGCUUAUUUGUAAUCCUAAUAUAUGAGGGUGACACUUUUAAGAUUUAUGUAUGUGUCAACCUCUUAAAUGUUUUCUGUGAA
rnacentral:sRNA from 1 species